rnacentral:rRNA from 1 species
UGGGGAAUCUUGCGCAAUGGGCGAAAGCCUGACGCAGCGACGCCGCGUGGGUGAUGAAGGCCUUCGGGUUGUAAAGCCCUGUGGAGAGGGACGAAUAAGUUCGACCUAAUACGUCGGGCGAUGACGGUACCUCUUUAGCAAGCACCGGCUAACUCUGUGCCAGCAGCCGCGGUAAGACAGAGGGUGCAAACGUUGUUCGGAAUUACUGGGCGUAAAGCGCGUGUAGGCGGUCGUGCAAGUCGGGUGUGAAAGCCCAGGGCUCAACCCUGGAAGUGCAUUCGAUACUGCAUGGCUAGAGUCCCGGAGAGGAUGGUGGAACUCUCGGUGUAGAGGUGAAAUUCGUAGAUAUCGAGAAGAACACCGGUGGCGAAGGCGGCCAUCUGAACGGUGACUGACGCUGAGACGCGAAAGCGUGGGGAGCAAACA